CGAAUUAAAGGGAGAUUACACAGAAGCAAAAGCCUUGAUAGCAUGGAUUUCUGUGAGCUCACUAGCACAGCAAUGGAGGAAACAGCUAUAUGGGAACAACAUACAGUGACGCUUCACAGGGUAAGUUUGUGUUGCAGUAAAUAAUCUGUGUAUAACUCAGGAUACUGGCAGCUUUGAAAACAAUAGAGGAAAGCCAGAUGUCAGGAAGCCAGAGGGAGGAGGAAACUUUUUCUAUAUUCUUUUGUUUAAAAUUAGAGUUACAGUAAUUUU
rnacentral:sRNA from 1 species